GUUGACAAGGUGAAGGGAAAGGACGACAUCCAGAGGGACCUUGACAUGUUUGAGAGAUGGACCGAUGCAAACCUCAAGUUCAACAAAUUGAAGUGCAAGGUGAGACCCCACCUGGAAUACAAUGUACAGUUCUGGUGUCCCCAACAAAAGAAGGACAUGGAACUGUUGGAACCGGUCGAGAGGAGGGCCAGGAAGUUGAGAGUACUACAGCACAUUCCCUAUGAAGACAGACUGAGAAGUCUGGGGCUGUAAAGUCUGGAGAAGAGAAAGUUUUUCAAAUGGAG